AACGUACUACUUGAUAAAUUGCACUUUAAAUAAUCACAUACACUUGGUUAUUCUUUAUUUUGUGGUUUGUUUCAUUGAUUGGAUUUACUUUGCUAUGCAGUCUAAUGUGUCCCCUUGGUAAAUUCUGGAGGAAGAGCUAUGGAUUAAUGGUAUCUUUCUUAUUUACAUUGCUAUUAUCUGAAAGAUAGUAGGGACAAUUUUUGUGACAGGAAGAGAGAGGAGAUGUAUAGAACCAUAGAAUUUUAGGUUAUUAAGGAACAGUAGAGAAGAUCAAAUUCAGCUUUCUCAUCUCAAAGAUUAGGUCACUAGGACUUAAAGCUUAGGUCACUCGAUUGCAGGUUCUAGAGUCCACUGUUCUUUCCAUUGUGCCAUAGCUGAAAACUAUUUAGCAUGUGAUUGAAAAGUGCUGUUUGUAUUUAGAAUUAUCUUUCCUGUCAGUUUUCAGAUUCAGUAUCAGCAAUCUACAGCAAUCCCUGUUUGGAGUUCCAAUAUUCUGGGAAGGGAACUGCAGAUACAGUAGAUCUCCAUCCAACUCUGCCAAAUACACUUGUCUCCUUCCCAACUCUGCAAUUGCCCUCCUAGGAUAUUUUCCAAACCCAUAGUGAGAAGAUGCAGCUGCUAUGGCAGGAGGAGUGGUAGUUGGAAAGGAAAACAAAUGGAAAAUUACAGAGGUAAAUGGUUUCAACAUGCCAAUAAAGCCAACAUUAUGAUUCAAAACAACUUUUUACCAAACCUUCCGAGAGUGGGCCUCUACUACAAACUGGUGAUCUCUGGAGGAAACAAGAAUGAGAUGAGUUAUGUUCGGAGAAAUAUUAUAUUGCUAUUUUAUUUUCUACAACAUUGACUAAAUGGCUAGUCAAUUGUAAGGACCUUGACAGACUUAGGAA
rnacentral:lncRNA from 1 species